UACGGAGGGUGCAAGCGUUAUCCGGAUUCACUGGGUUUAAAGGGUGCGUAGGCGGGUUGGUAAGUCCGUGGUGAAAUCCCCAAGCUUAACUUGGGAACUGCCGUGGAUACUAUCAAUCUUGAAUAUCGUGGAGGUAAGCGGAAUAUGUCAUGUAGCGGUGAAAUGCUUAGAUAUGACAUAGAACACCAAUUGCGUAGGCAGCUUACUACACGAAGAUUGACGCUGAGGCACGAAAGCGUGGGGAGCAAACAGG
rnacentral:rRNA from 1 species